AAGAAGAGCUGCGGGCACUGUUGGAUUUCUCGCCGUGUUUUCUCACCGGUGAGGUCACCGGAGGCCGGGGGUGAGCUUUCUUUUCCUUCUUCUCUUCCUUCCCUUUCUUUUUGUAUUUUUGAUUUAGGCUGCCGGCGAUGAGUGUCGCCGAUCUACCGAUGGGAAAGAGACUCUGUUUUUGAGUCUCUUUUCCUUGAAAUCUCCGACGCCGGCGAUCGGAAUUGAUCGCCGGCCAUGUUUCCUCCAUGACCGGAGGAGUGGCCCUGUCGGCCGCCGGCCUCCGCCGUGGCGGCCGCGGCCCGAACGGCCGAUCAAGGCCUGAGGACCAAGAGUCCUCUGUUCCGGCACG
rnacentral:lncRNA from 1 species